UGUACAGAAGGUGCAGUCACAGCCUGGUCAGCUGUAGUGGUUGUGUAAUUGCAUUCACAUGAGAAGUAUAUAAGAUUUGUUUUCUUACAAUCACAGCAUUCGCUCUGAACAGCCUUGGCUUUGUGUUUCUUCAUGGUAAUUUCUUCCCCAUCACUUUUUGUUAAGCACGUGUUUAGAAGCAUGGCUGCUGAAAAAGAAAGGAAUGGUUUGGAGAAUUAUUCUUUUUCUGGUGUGGAUAACUUCUGUGAAAUGCCAGACGCAGACAAUGGUGAGGUCCUGGACUCUACAAAUGAGGAAAGGAUGAACAAGUUGGUGUACUGUGUCACUGAUGUCCCACCCUGGUACAUGUGCAUCAUCCUUGGGACACAGCACUACUUGACUGCAUUUGGUGGCAUCAUUGGCAUUCCCCUGAUCCUGUUCAGAGCGCUGUGCCUGGAGCAUGAUUCACUCACUCAAAGCCACCUGAUCAGCACCAUCUUUUUUGUGUCGGGUAUUUGCACUUUACUUCAGGUCAUGUUUGGAGUGAGGUUGCCCAUUCUCCAAGGAGGGACAUUUAGCUUCCUAGCACCCUCCCUGGCUGUGAUGUCUAUGCCUAAGUGGAAGUGUCCUGCCUGGACUCACAAUGCCAGUCUUGUUAAUACCAGCUCACCAGAGUACAUUGAAGUAUGGCAGAGCAGGAUUCGAGAGCUUCAGGGAUCAAUCAUGGUAGCCUCCUGUUUCCAGAUCUUCGUGGGAUUCUCUGGGCUCAUUGGUCUUCUCAUGAAAUUUAUUGGCCCACUCACCAUUGCACCCACCAUCUCUCUCAUUGGUCUGUCCCUGUUUGAGUCAGCUGGGAAUGAUGCAGGGAUCCACUGGGGGAUCUCUUCAAUGACCACAGUUCUGAUAAUCCUGUUCUCACAGUACCUCCGACACAUCCCUGUUCCCCUCCCUGCCUAUAGCAAGACAAAGAAAUUUCACAUCUCCAGGAUCUAUGUCUUUCAGAUUCUUCCAGUGCUCCUUGGAAUUACAUUUUCAUGGCUUAUUUGCUAUAUCCUGACUGAGUACAAUAUUUUGCCAUCAGAACCUGGGAUGUAUGGCUAUCUGGCUCGCACUGAUAUGAAGGGAGAUGUGCUAGGCAGAGCACCCUGGUUCAGAUUCCCAUACCCAGGCCAAUGGGGUGUUCCAACUGUGAGCCCUGCAGGGGUAUUUGGCAUCUUGGCUGGGGUGAUUUCUUCCAUGAUAGAGUCUGUGGGCGAUUACCAUGCCUGUGCAAGACUAUCUGGUGCUCCUCCUCCACCAAAACAUGCCAUCAACCGAGGAGUGGGUAUUGAAGGCAUUGGCUGCCUGCUGGCAGGUAUAUGGGGUACAGGAAAUGGGACCACCUCCUACAGUGAGAAUGUGGGAGCACUAGGCAUCACUAAGGUGGGGAGCCGGGUGGUAAUUGUUACCAGUGGAAUUCUAAUGAUAGUUAUGGGAACGUUUGGGAAGAUUGGAGCCAUUUUUACCACAAUCCCAACACCAGUUAUUGGUGGAAUGUUCCUUGUUAUGUUUGGUGUCAUAUCUGCUGCUGGAGUUGCAAACCUACAGUAUGCAGAUAUGAACUCAUCCCGGAACCUCUUCAUUUUUGGGUUUUCCAUGUUUUCUGGUCUGGUGAUACCGAACUGGAUAAAUAAGCACCCAAUGGCUAUUGAAACUGGUGUGAUUGAAUUGGACAGUGUUCUACGUGUUUUGUUGACCACCAGUAUGUUUGUGGGAGGUUUCUUUGGAUUCAUUCUUGAUAACACCAUCCCAGGAUCGAAUCAGGAGCGGGGUACUAUAGCUUGGAAAGAUGCCCACCAUGAAGAUCCAGGUGACAUGCUGGAGAGUGGGGAAAUCUAUGAUUUACCUUUUCAAAUUAAUUUCCGCUUUUUCUCUGCACAGUGGGUGCAAUACUUACCUUUCUGUCCUAAACCUCAAACAAAGCAACACCAGCAAACUGUAACAGCCUGUGAGGAAAUUGGACCCAAAGAAGUAAAAUCUACAGAAUUGUUAGACAUGACACAGAUUGCCUACAAUACAAAGUUAUAAACCAUCCUGUUUAUUCAAUAUAUGCUCUCCAUGCAACAUUCAAGUUGAAAAUGACUAAUAGCCUCAGUAGUUGGGUGAAUUUAUUGUGUGUCAAAAUGUUUGUGAAUAAUUUUUGUGCUCAUUCCUUUCCCUCCCCCAAUACUACCCAACUGAUAUGAAAAGGAUUACUGCAUUUUAGGAAUCUGUACUUAUAUAUAAAAAAUGCAAAGUGUAAGGUACACAUGCUUGGUGAAUUAUUAUUUUUAUUUUGAAAAUUUUCUGGGUGAUCCAAUAAUUAAGUGUUACUAAUACACCUUUUUCAAUCUAUGAUUAAAAGAUUAUACUUUCAAGAUUUCACAAAUCAAUGUAAAUAAGAUAAAUGCAAUAAUAAUAUAAUGUCACUGAAGAAAGUCUAGCUGUAAAAUACAUAAAACAGUUAUAUAUAACUGGGGGCUGUUUCAUGUAGUGAUAUUACUCAGUUAACCAAUAACUUUUGAAAACAAGUUGACAAAAGUCAGGAUUGUCGAUUUCACAAUAUUAUAUGUAAGAAUACUGCUCGUUAUGGCUAAACGUUAAAAGUGUUUUUUUUUUUACUGUGUUGGGAACUCGGAUCAGUUCCUUAAAGCAACAGUGUAUUGUGCAAUGAGGAAAAUGUGUGCAUUAAAACAGUUUUUUGGGAA